CUGUUGGUUGCAUGAGGCCAGCGCGACUCAUGAAGGUGUUCAUCACCCGCAGGAUACCCCCGGAAGGCAGGGCCGCGCUCGCACAGGCGGCAGACUGUGAGGUGGAGCAAUGGGAUUCGGAUGAGCCCAUCCCUGACAAGGAGCUAGAGCGAGGCGUGGCUGGGGCUCAAGGCCUGCUUUGCCUUCUCUCUGACCGCGUGGACAAGAGGCUCCUGGAUGCAGCAGGAGCCAAUCUCAAAGUCAUCAGCACACUGUCCGUGGGCGUUGACCACUUGGCUUUGGAUGAAAUCAAGAAGCGUGGGAUCCGCGUGGGCUAUACCCCAGAUGUCCUGACAGAUGCCACUGCCGAACUCGCAGUCUCCCUGUUGCUCACCACUUGCCGCAGGCUGCCGGAGGCUAUCGCAGAGGUGAAGAAUGGCGGCUGGACCUCGUGGAAGCCCCUGUGGAUGUGUGGCUACGGCCUCACCCAGAGCACCGUGGGCAUCAUCGGGCUGGGCCGCAUAGGCCAGGCUGUUGCUCGGCGUCUGAAACCAUUUGGCGUCCAGAGAUUUCUCUACACAGGACGGCAGCCCAGGCCUCAGGAAGCAGAGGAAUUCCAGGCAAAGUUUGUGUCUGCCCCCCAGCUGGCCGCCGAGUCUGAUUUUAUUGUGGUAGCCUGCUCCUUAACACCUGCAACCAAGGAGCUCUGCAACAAGGACUUCUUCCAGAAGAUGAAAAAAACAGCUGUGUUUGUCAACAUCAGCAGGGGAGAUGUGGUAAACCAGGACGACUUGUACCAGGCCUUGGCCAGUGGUCAUAUUGCAGCUGCUGGACUAGAUGUGACCACUCCAGAACCACUGCCUACAAACCACCCUCUCCUGACCCUGAAGAACUGUGUGAUCCUGCCCCACAUUGGCAGUGCCACCCACAGAACCCGCAACACUAUGUCCUUGUUGGCAGCUAACAACUUGCUGGCUGGCCUGAGAGGGGAACCAAUGCCCAGUGAGCUCAAGCUGUGAACAGACAGGAGACACAGAGGGCCAGGAAGCAAACGGUGCCCUAGUAUUAUCAGAUGUGCCCAGGCUUGAUUUGGACCCACAGGACGGGAGCCAGGGAAAAAAGUCUGAUCUGUACUGAUUCUGUAGAGGGAAGACUGGUGCUGAUGGAUAUGGUUGCCACUUUUGCAGUUGGAAACAUCUGAGCCAAAAGACGUCAGCAGAGGCCCUGGUCAACUGUGGAGGGCCAGGCUGGGAAGCACGGCCAUUUUCAAAUGAGGACGUGGCCCCAUUCAUCAUUAGCUGGGAACUGGCAGAGUUUUCAGGGAUCUGUGAGCUC